GACGAACGCUGGCGGCGUGCUUAACACAUGCAAGUCGAACGGAAAGGCCCUGCUUGCAGGGUACUCGAGUGGCGAACGGGUGAGUAACACGUGGGUGAUCUGCCCUGCACUUCGGGAUAAGCCUGGGAAACUGGGUCUAAUACCGGAUAGGAGCCAUUUUUAGUGUGAUGGUUGGAAAGUUUUUUCGGUGUAGGAUGAGCUCGCGGCCUAUCAGCUUGUUGGUGGGGUAAUGGCCUACCAAGGCGGCGACGGGUAGCCGGCCUGAGAGGGUGGACGGCCACAUUGGGACUGAGAUACGGCCCAGACUCCUACGGGAGGCAGCAGUGGGGAAUAUUGCACAAUGGGCGCAAGCCUGAUGCAGCGACGCCGCGUGGGGGAUGACGGCCUUCGGGUUGUAAACUCCUUUCGCUAGGGACGAAGCUUUUUGUGACGGUACCUAGAUAAGAAGCACCGGCUAACUACGUGCCAGCAGCCGCGGUAAUACGUAGGGUGCGAGCGUUGUCCGGAAUUACUGGGCGUAAAGGGCUCGUAGGUGGUUUGUCGCGUCGUCUGUGAAAUUCCGGGGCUUAACUCCGGGCGUGCAGGCGAUACGGGCAUAACUUGAGUACUGUAGGGGUAACUGGAAUUCCUGGUGUAGCGGUGAAAUGCGCAGAUAUCAAGAGGAACACCGAUGGCGAAGGCAGGUUACUGGGCAGUUACUGACCCUGAGGAACGAAAGCAUGGUUAGCGAACAAGAUUAGAUACCCUGGUAGUCCAUGCCGUAAACCGUGGGCGCUAGGUGUGAAGGUCUUUUCACACUUUUCGGCCGUAACUAACCAUUAACCGCCCCUCUGGGGAAUACGCCCCAAGGUUAAAUUCAAGAAUUGACGGGGGCCCCCACAAGUGGUGGACCAUGUGGAUUACUUCCAUGCAACUGGAAGCACCUUAAAUGGGGUUAACAUACACUGGAUCGGUGUAGACAUAGUGUUUCCCUUCUGAGUGGGUGUACAGGUUGUGCAAGGUUGUCGUCAGCUCCUGUCGUAAGAUGUUGGGUAAAGUCCCGCAACCAACGCAACCUUUGUCUUAUGUUGGCCAGGCAUUUGGUUGGGGGCCCAUGAGAGACUUCCGCGCUCAACUCAGAGGAAGGUGGGGAGGAUGUCAAAUCAUCAUAAACCUUUUGUCCAGGGCCUCACAAAUGAUGCAAUGGUCGGUAAAAGGCGCAGUUUCACUGUGAGGUUGGAGAAAAUCGAUGAAAGCCGCCCUUAGUUUUGAUUGGGGUUUGCCACUUCUAUGCCACGAAGUAGGAAAGGGCCGUUAUCGCAGAUCAGCAAUGAUUAGGCGAAUACGAAACAGGGCCU
rnacentral:rRNA from 1 species